UAGGCCGGCCCGAUUAGAACCACAGCUCUUGUGGUUCCAAGGGGCCGGGUGGAACCGGUCGGAAGUUCUAAUACAAACACGGUCGAAAACGUUCCGUUCCGUACCGUUCCCUGCAGUGCGAAAACGCCUUUAGUUUCACCUGGUUCAAAUUCUGUACAUGUGACGUCACACUUCCGGGAAUUUAGAAACCGACAGCCGCUUCAAAGGUAUCCGUUAACUGUCAUGACAGUUGCUAUGACAACAAUAAACAAGCCACAAGCUUAGAACUAGCUCUCGCCUUGUUCCUAUCUACUUAUAAACAAUGAACCUCCUGAGAACAACGCUGGAAUGAGAAACCUCCAAAGACACCAGAAAGUCUCAGAGGAUUGAAUCUGGUCUGUUUGUGAGGCAGGAAAGGCGGCCAUGUUGAAACAGAAAAUACACAUGUGAGGCUGGGAUGCAUUUCCUUCUUUGCUAAAAAGCCUCUGUCACCAUCUGCAUSUUUCUGGCAACGUUAAUGGAUUUUGAAGAUUCAUCUCGYCAUUUCUCCUGAAAAGGUUGCAGAAGCAACCCUUUUAAGGCAGUUACAUUAAAAUGUCUUCUUUGACAAUAUCUUUUA